GAUGAACGCUGGCGGCGUGCCUAAUACAUGCAAGUCGAGCGAACGGACGAGAAGCUUGCUUCUCUGAUGUUAGCGGCGGACGGGUGAGUAACACGUGGAUAACCUACCUAUAAGACUGGGAUAACUUCGGGAAACCGGAGCUAAUACCGGAUGAUAUUUUGAACCGCAUGGUUCAAAAGUGAAAGACGGUCUUGCUGUCACUUAUAGAUGGAUCCGCGCUGCAUUAGCUAGUUGGUAAGGUAACGGCUUACCAAGGCAACGAUGCAUAGCCGACCUGAGAGGGUGAUCGGCCACACUGGAACUGAGACACGGGCCAGACUCCUACGGGAGGCAGCAGUAGGGAAUCUUCCGCAAUGGGCGAAAGCCUGACGGAGCAACGCCGCGUGAGUGAUGAAGGUCUUCGGAUCGUAAAACUCUGUUAUUAGGGAAGAACAUAUGUGUAAGUAACUGUGCACAUCUUGACGGUACCUAAUCAGAAAGCCACGGCUAACUACGU
rnacentral:rRNA from 1 species